rnacentral:rRNA from 1 species
UACGUAGGGUGCAAGCGUUAUCCGGAAUUAUUGGGCGUAAAGAGCUCGUAGGCGGUUUGUCGCGUCUGCUGUGAAAACCCAGGGCUCAACCCUGGGCCUGCAGUCGAUACGGGCGGACUAGAGUUCGGCAGGGGAGACUGGAAUUCCUAGUGUAGCGGUGAAAUGCGCAGAUAUCAGGAGGAACACCGGUGGCGAAGGCGGAUCUCUGGGCCGAUACUGACGCUGAGGAGCGAAAGCGUGGGGAGCGAACAGG